rnacentral:rRNA from 1 species
AUGGCGCCCGCGACGGUGACGGAGACAUCCAUAAUCCUUCCACCACACUUUGUUCUCGUCCCGCUUAUUGGGCACGGCCACACCAUCCCCAUGUCGGACCUUGCCUGCCUCCUCGCGGGACGCGGUGCGAGAGUGAGCCUCGUCACCACGCCCGUCAACGCGGCGCGCCUGGGGGGACUAGCCGACAGGGCGCGGCACGCCAUGCUGUCCCUGGAGAUAGUCGAGCUCCCAUUCCUGCUGGCCGAUGAUGGACUGCCCACUGGCAGCACCGCCAGCGUUGACAGCUUCCUCCGGUUGUUCCUCGGCCUUUACAGGCUCGCCGGGCCGCUCGAGGCCUAUGUGCGUGCGCUGCCGCGGCGCCCAAGCUGCAUCAUCUCCGACGCCUGCAAUCCGUGGACGGCCGGCGUCGCAAGGAGCGUUGGGGUCCCGCGGCUCUUCUUCCACGUGCCUUCCGUCUUCUACUCGCUCUGCGACCUGAACGUCGCAACGUGUGGCCAAGGCAACCAUGGCGCAUCGUAUGUCGUGCCGGGCAUGCCGGUGCGCGUAGAGAUGGCGAAGGAGACAUGGUCGUCGUCCUUCUAUACCACGCCUGAGUGGGAGCAGUUCACAAAGGAGGCGCGGGAGGCCAUGCGCACGGCCGACGGUGCCGUGAUGAACACCUUCCUAGGCCUCGAGCAACAGUUCAUCACGUCCUAUGAGGCGGCACUGGGCAAGCCGGUGUGGGCGCUCGGGCCCUUCUGCCUCGGUAACCGGCGGGAGAAGGAGGCCGUCAACCAGAGCCCGGUCACCGCCUGGCUCGACAAGAUGGACGAGAACACGGUCAUUUAUGUCAAUUUCGGCAGCCUCGUGCGGAUGCCUCCCAAACAGCUGUACGAGGUCGGACAAGGCCUCGAGGACUCUGGGAAGCCAUUCCUUUGGGUGGUGAAGGAGUCCGAGACGGCGUUGCCAGAAGCGCAAGAGUGGCUCCAAGCCCUGGAGGCACGAACGGCAGGGCAGGGGCUCAUAUUGCGUGGCUGGGCGCCUCAACUCGCCAUCAUGUCGCACCGUGCUGUAGGCGGCUUCAUGACCCACUGUGGGUGGAACUCCCUACUAGAGUCCAUUGCGCACGGCGUGCCUGUCGUGACGUGGCCUCACUUCAGCGACCAGUUCCUCAACGAGAGGCUGGUCGUGGAAGUACUUGGGGUCGGCGUGUCCUUAAUGCCGUUCGGUAAGGAUACGGCCGUGGUGCGGGGGCACAUUGCGCAAGCGGUGUCGGAGCUGAUGGGCGAUGGGGCGGUGGCAGAGGAGAGGAGGAGAAAGUGCAAGGAUUAUGGGGAGAGAGCUCAUACAGCCGUAGCGAAAGGAGGAUCGUCCCAUGAAAACCUAACGCGGCUAUUACAGAAUUUCAUGCCGAGUGGCAGCAAGGAACUGUAG